rnacentral:rRNA from 1 species
UACCAGCACCCCGAGUGGUCGGGACGAUUAUUGGGCCUAAAGCAUCCGUAGCCGGUUCUACAAGUCUUCCGUUAAAUCCACCUGCUUAACAGAUGGGCUGCGGAGGAUACUAUAGAGCUAGGAGGCGGGAGAGGCAAGCGGUACUUAGUGGGUAGGGGUAAAAUCCGUUGAUCCACUGAAGACCACCAGUGGCGAAGGCGGCUUGCCAGAACGCGCUCGACGGUGAGGGAUGAAAGCUGGGGGAGCAAACCGGAUUAGAUACCCGGGUAGUCCCAGCUGUAAACGAUGCAGACUCGGUGAUGAAUAGGCUUCGUGCCUAUUCAGUGCCGCAGGGAAGCCGUUAAGUCUGCCGCCUGGGGAGUACGGUCGCAAGACUGAAACUUAAAGGAAUUGGCGGGGAGCACCACGAAGGGGUGAAGCCUGCGGUUC